rnacentral:tRNA from 1 species
GCCACCGUAGCUCAGUUGGCAGAGCGAGGCUUUCGUAAAGCCUAGGUCGUCAGUUCGAGUCUGACCGGUGGCU